GAUCAUAGCCUUAGGGAAGAUCUUGGGAAAAGAAAGAGCAAAACUAUAUCCCAGCCUGAUAGGAGACAGCGGAAGUAAAUCAUGGCCGUGAAGACAUCUGCAGAACCUGGAGUGGAGAGAAGUCCAUUGUGUGGUAUAGUGCCUGGCCUGUUGCUCUAGAUGCAUAUAUAAAAUAUGGAGGUGGAGGUUCGAUCGUUUAUUUCACCUGAGUUGUCCUAGGAUUGCACAUCUGCUGCACUUCUUUUUGUCUGUUGGAGUUUUUCCAAUGACAAAUGGCCAGAUUUCAAAUUUUCUGUCACUUAUCCGCCAGCACCAGCCCUCCUUUCUCAGUGUGAGAUGACAAGGCUGCUUCUGCUGUUGCUGCUGCUGUGUCACUGAUAGGUAUUUUGCCAGCCAUGGGUAAGGUUGUAUGACAGUGUGGUGAGCCCAAGCUAAUCACUCCUUCCAGUCCUGAAUGCUAACUGCCUAGCACAUGUCAUUCACAAGCAGAAAAUGAUGAGCUGUCUAGUAAAAAUCACCAGGUUCUGAAUUCUCUUUCAUCUUAAAGAAUUAAAAAAAAAAAAAAUUCAGAUAUCCAACAUGGUUCUUAAGCUCUUUAAUACUUACUUAGAUAUUUUUUAAACACUAUUAUUUACCAAACUCUUUUGUUUCGUUGCUCCAGCUUGCCCUCUCUUAUCCUUCCUUUUAUUUUUCUCUUGUAUUCUCAAACCUGCAGAUGUUCACAAGUUACCUUCAGAAAGUGGCAGAUACCCUUUUGAAAUGAAGAGCCACUAUGCCUGUCUUCACAUUCCAAGUGGCAGACAGCCUAAGAUUCCCUUUGCAGGCGCCACUAUCUGUCUGCUUUGGUACAUGGUGGCAGACGUUCGAAAUAUGGUAGAACCAGGACAUAGUGACAUGUUGUGUUUUGUCCAUGAAGAUGGAAAGAUCCUAGACUCUAGAUACUGCUUUCAGGGGAAUGGAAUCUCUCAGCAGAAAACAUCAUCUAAACUAGAUCAGGACAAUCUUUUCAUACCUGGACCCCGACUGUUCAUUGCAGGUACCAGGGCAUUUGCUGUAAAUGAGGGAAUUCCUUUCAGCCUCUGGGAAGUUUGAGCAGGAAGCAGUCAGUGUGUCCCUGUGAGAAAGAUCAGAAUUGUUAAAUUUUUUUUAAAAAUUGUUAUUUAUUCUCCUUCUAAAUGAUAACUUUAGAAGAUAGUACAACAGAGUUAUUAGUGCCUUGUUUUUCUUAAUGUUCUGCAAAUUUAUAUAUCUUCUGAGACUACAAACACUCUCAUUAGCAAUAAGAAUAAAUUAUGGCAAUAAACAUAAUAUACAGUGACCUAAUAGGAAAAAUGAUAACCCCUUUAAAUGUCACAUGGUAGCAUUUAAU
rnacentral:lncRNA from 1 species